rnacentral:lncRNA from 1 species
GAUUUGAUGGUUUCCAGCCCUGGCUCGGCAUUAGAACCACCCUUCUCAGGAAUAGACAUACUUGGAACUCCACCCCUGGGAAAUUCUGAGCCUGUGGAUCUGGGCUGGGGCCAGGAUCUGCCUGUUAAAAAUGGUCCUCUGGUUAUUCUGCUGUUGGAGGGUCUCAGUGUUUGUGAAAUCAAACAUAUGAUUGAAUGUAAGGUAGAACGUAAGUCCUUGAUUUCUCUGGUUUCUAGGGUUCAGUGAAGGGACAGAAAAGGCUGCUUGGUAAAGUGAUCUCUUCUAGGGAGGAUGCUUGGGGGGUCCAAGAGCUCAAAGCAUUUUCUCUUCUUAUCUCAUCUCUGCAUGUCCAGCCUUGCCCAUCGAAGCAGAUGGAACGGAGAGGAAGUUCACCCUGGCCUCCUUCACACUACCCCUGUGACCCAAGUAAGCUGGCCACCUUCCCUGCACUUCAUCUCGCCACUUUGUUCAGCAGGCAUUCUCCAUGUUUUACAUUUGCAGACCAGAGGCGGGUGGAAGAAGAGCUCUGUGGACUCCAUGACCAUCAGUCAAGGGGGUAGUGAGGUGUUGCUUGUCUUUGCUAGAAUUUCUCAAGUUUACAAAGAAUUAGAGAUGGAAAUGAAAGUUCGUAACUGUUUACAGUUCCAGCUGGCAUCUGAUAGACCCCUAAGGAACCUCCGUGCAGACUGGGGUGCCAGCCAGGCCUUCUUUCUGAAUCAGGGACCUAGAAAUCUCCAGUUGUUGAAAGGCAGACUCUGUAUAGGUCUAGGGGUCAGCAAUGCAGAAGGAGCCCAGGUUGUGAGGCCUGGGUCCAGGUUGGACUUGCUGCUAGCUUGCUGUGUGACUCUGUACGGGCCAGAGAGCCUCCCCAAGCCUUGCUGACUUUGACACAUCAGCUGAAAUUCUUUCUCUGAGGCUUAUGAUCCUGAAAAGGGAUUGGAUGUAGUGGAGAAAGGAAUUUGUCCCAAGCAGGAGAGCAGUAAAUUGCCAACAAUGGAAGGUUGGAAAGGCCUGUGUCCAUAGUACCAGGUGGGAGUCAUGGACCACUGGGGCUGCUGAGCCUGGACGUGGGGCUUGUAGGAGACUGUAGGAUCACAGAAUUGAAAGUGGUAGCGGUGAAUGGAGAGUGGGGAUUACACAGUACAAGACAUUUUCUCACAUACUGUUUUCUUCAGUUUACAUGGAAUCCUAAGAGAUAUUAUUGUGUCAACAUUCAUAAUAACCAAAUCAUUUUACAGGGGAGAAAACUGAGGCCCAGAGAGAUGAAGGCCCCCAAAGUCACACGGCAAUUUGGUGGUGCCAAAAUUUGAAUCCACAUCUGUCUGACUCUACUACCACCCCACUACAGUUGACUUGGGGCAAGAUGGGUGUCCCAAAGCAUUUGGGUUGAUUUAGAUUUUUUCUGGAGUGGUUCUACAGAUCUUUCCCCCAGGUGAGGCAGGUGCCCUCCCUUUCCUGGGAACAGGCCACUCUCAGUGUUUGGGAAGGAAGGGACAGCAACAUGUGGUGGGGUCAAAGGCAUCAGGUGCUGGCCGCUGUCAUUCCCAGUGGGAAAUGGAUCUCCUUCUCAGGAACCUGAGCAGGAGCUGGAAGUCCUCCCUCUGCAGGCAGGAUCUCAGGUGAUGGCCCUGAACAGGUGAUUGUUUUGCAACUAGUCAGGGAGGGUGGACAGGUCUUGAAGUCUGAGAAGGCACAGAUUUCCAGACCAGGUCUCACCCAGGAGAUUCAAAGGGCAGGAUUGCGCAAGGACGACCUCUACUUGGGCCCAGAAAACGAGAAAGUCAGCUUCUUUUCCGUGUACUGUGAGUGAGUCACCUUUCCCAGAAGCCAGGCCAUUCUCUGGUUCCUCCUGCAGGCUCAGAGUGGCCUGGCUAGGGUGGAGCAGAGCAGGGAAGGUGAGGAGCCAGUGACAACUCCGUCUUCCCCAUCUCCGUAGGGAGCAUGGAGCUUAGUGCAUUAGACUGGGUAAGAACCCAUCACGCAUCCCCAACCCUCUGCACCCCAUCCACAUGUCACAAGGUCACAGCUGGGUACCGAGGCUGGCAUGGGGCCGAUCACUGUGCCUGUGGUGCGGAAUGGGAUGUGUGUGUGUGUGUAUAAAAGCCAUGGAAGCCAUGGUACAAUCUGAGGGCCAGACAAGCUUUUUGUUCCCCAAUCUCAUCUUUCCUGCUUGGUGUAGACGGGCUUCAAAGUCAGACAUCUGGGUUCCAAUUUCAGCUCUCCCCCUUCAUUCCCACCUCCCCAGCCCACCUCCCAGCCCUUGGAGCUCAUACUUACAGAGCAACCUUGGACAGGUCAUUCCAACCUGCUUAAGCCUCAGUUUUUCUCCUCUGUGUAAUGGGGAUAACAUUACCCACUUCUCAGAGUUGUGAAUUAUCAAGCAGAUUAAAUAGAAGAGUGCUGGGAGGGUAGAGUCUGUCAUCAGGCAGCCUGGCUUUAUUUUUAUUUAUUUAUUUAUUUAUUUAUUUAUUUAUUUAUUUGAGAUGGAGUCUUUCUUUGUCACCCAGGCUGGAGUGCAGUGGCACGAUCUCGGCUCACUGCAACCUCUGUCUCCAAGGUUCAAGCAAUUCUUGUGCCUUAGCCUUCCAAGUAGGUGGGACAACAGGUGCCCGCCUCCAUGUCCAGCUAAUUUUUGUAUUUUUAGUAGAGACUGCGUUUUGCCAUGUUGGCCAGACUGGUCUUGAACUCCUGGCCUCAAGUGAUCUGCCCGCCUCGGCCUCCCAAAGUGCUGGGAUUACAGGUGUGAGCCACUGUGCCCAGCCAAGGCAGCCCAACUUUAGACCAUAGCCCUGUGUUCCAUCUCUAACCCUCCGGCUAAUCCUACCCCUCCUGGGCUUCCGGCUGAUCAGUUGUAAAGUACAGCUCCCUCGUGGAGCUGCUGUAAGGAUCAAAUAAGAUACCGCUCUUGCCAUGUAUAAGGCACCCAGCAAAAGUGUUAAUUGCCUUCUCCAUUCAGGCUCAUUUCCUCAUGAUUUUGCUGAGAAAAGAGAGUUGGAUCUGAAGAUGUCAAAUUAUUCCAAAGAUUGAUCUUUCCUAGGUUCCUACUUUAUUAGAUGGGAUAAGAAUAGCAUAUAUCUCAUAAAGCUGUUGUGAGGCUAAUUGAGUUGAUAUGAGUACCAGGAAGUGCCCCAUAAAUGUCAGCUUCAUGGCUGGCUAUAUAUAGUUCUUCAUUCUGCUGGUGAUGCAGCCCUGGCCGGUGCCUUGGCCUGAGUGAUCAGGGCCAAGGUGACACCCUGCAGUGACAGGUCUGGGUAGUGACGAGCAAAGCUGGUUGGGCAGGGGCAGCCAGGUCCUUACUGAGACCGAAAGAACAGCUUGGGCAUUAUUUUGUAACAGAGAUUGCCUUUGGUCUUGGCUAGUUCCAGAGAAGGCUGGAAAAAGGAAUGUCUGUGACCACCAGGCUGCAGGGAAAUGGGAUGCUCCUACAUUUUGUCAUGGCUGAGGGAGCAGAUGAGGACCACAGCAGAACAGGUGGGGGUCUUUUAGUGGAUGCUGACCAGCUAGGAGGCCACAGCUGGAUGGAAGCUGGGGGAAUAACCCCAGUCCCAUCGUGUGGGGCAGUAGACACUGGGCAGGGGCCCCAGAGCCUGCACAUGGCCAAGUCAGUCAAGAUGUGCCUCCUUCUAGGGAACUGACAGAGAGUGGGUUCUGUUGCCCCAAAGAGUCCAGUGCUCUUUCCAUGAGAUCAUGUUUGCCCAGAAUCAUGGACCCCUGCCCUGAGAGCUCACCAUCAACUCAUGGCAGGUGGCCAGCUGGAUGCUCAGGGACCACAGAGGAAGGAGAGAGAUUCAGAGAAAGUUUGUGGAAGAGGCAACACGUAAGCCAGGCUUUUUAGGAGGAGAUGAGGAAGAAAGUUGUUGUCCCCACUUCCUCAUCUCCACCUCAUGUCUCCACCUCUAUCAAUUGCAAUCUGGCUUCUCUUACACAUGAAAAUACUCUUGUCAGGGUCAUCCGUGACCUUCUGUGGUCAAUCCAAAGGGCACAUCGCGGUCCUGCUCUUAAAUAAUAUGGGGGUCACAUUUGACGCUGUAGCUCACUUCUCCCUGGACUUCUGGUUCUCCUUUUGCCUCCCUGAUGUUCCUCCUCAUUUUCCUUUGUGAGGUCAUCUUUCUCUGUUACCUAUCAUUUAUCCAUCCACCCACCCAUCCAUUCAUCCACUUGUCCAUUGAUCCACUUAUCCAUCCAUCCUUCCAUCCAUCCAUCCAUCCAUCCAUCCAUCCAUCCAUCCAUCCAUCUAUCCGCCCACUCACCCAUUCAUUUAUUCUAUCUAUCUAUCUUUGUACUUAAGGAGAAUUUAAAGAAGGUGCUAUUUAUAAAAGAAAGAGAUACUGCAGCACUCCAGGGCUGACCAUAUUAGGGAUCCAUUAGCAGCCCUAGGCCUUAAGAUCAAGUGGCUUUCAGAACCCAGAGUGAAGUUAUAAGGGGGCUUCCUGUUGGGAGCUGAGUCCUUCAGCCUGGGGACAUGGCCAACAAGGGAUGUAAACAUCGGACUUGACUCUCUUCCCCACAGUGAUGUGACUCAUGGCUGUGUUCUUUCCUCUGAGACUGGAAAGGAGCACCCCUCCUUUCUGCUCACACCCCCGCCCCCAGGACUUUUCUCUACUCCAGUGGCUGAUGCCCCCCGAGUUGCUAGCUCUGGCCCAGACUCCUCUACUGACAACCUACCUGAACACCCAACUCUCUACUCACUGGAACCCUGCAGCUGUCCCUCAGGUCUCACAAACCCAGCCUGCCCACAGAACUCAUGGUCUUUCCCCAGGCUGUUUAUCUCCCAUGUUCUCUGUCUGUGUGAAUGGCCACUCUCCUUGUCACCUGAGUCCACGGCUGGGACUCAUUCCUGCUCCUGUUCCUCCUUUACUGUCCCUAUCCAUCGCCAAGUCCUGUCCAAUCCGCACCCAGAAAUGGACAGAUGCAUCCCUCCCUCCCAUCCUCACUCCUGGUGCCUUUGCUUAAGUUCUUCUCAUCUCUGCUGCUCUGUAUCACCACAAUUGCUUCCUAAUUCACCUUCCGAUUCCCAUCUCACAUCCUAUGGCAGGGGCUGCUGGUUGCCUCUUAAGGCCCAUCAUUCUCUCUCCAUUGCUUAGUUAUACCCAAUUUUCAGUUAGGUAAGUGAUCAGUGAUCUAAAAGACAAUAUUUGCCAGACUUUCUUGUGGCUAGAAUUGGCCAAGUGACUAAGUUCUAUAUGAAGAUAUAGGCUGGGUGCGGUCGCUCACGCCUGUAAUCCCGGCACUUUGGGAGGCCAAGGUGGGUGUAUCACUUGAAGUCAGGAGUUUGAGACCAGCCUGGCCAACAUGGUGAAACCUCUUUGCUACUAAAAAUACAAAAAUUAGCGGGGGUGUGGUGGCACGUGCCUAUAAUCCAAGCUACUUGGGAGAUUGAGGUAGGAGAAUCUCUUGAACCCGGGAGGCAGAGGUUUCAGUGAGCCGAGUUUGCACCACUGGACUCCAGCCUGGAUGACAGAGUAAGACUCCGUCUCAAAACAAAACAAAACAAAACAAAAAACAGAUGAAGAUAUAAGCAGAAAUGACCUGUAGAAGUGCUGGGAAGUCUCCUUAAAAUGGAAAGGGCGUGCUCUUCUUUCUCCUGACUCUAUCUGCUGCCUGGAACAUGGAUGAUGGCCCAAGCUGUAGCAACUUCCUUGGACUAUGUGGGUAAUCACCUUCCACAGCUGAAAGGAUGAAUUGUAAGAAGUAUAUCAACCAUAAGUCACUAUCUCUGGACUUCUUCAAUGAAAGAGUGAAAUAAAG